rnacentral:rRNA from 1 species
CUACGGGAUGCUCCAGUGGGGAAUAUUGGGCAAUGGGCGCAAGCCUGACCCAGCAACGCCGCGUGAGGGAAGAAGGUUUUCGGAUUGUAAACCUCUGUCCUUGGGGACGAAGAAGUGACGGUACCCAAGGAGGAAGCUCCGGCUAACUACGUGCCAGCAGCCGCGGUAAUACGUAGGGAGCAAGCGUUGUCCGGAAUUACUGGGCGUAAAGGGUGCGUAGGCGGCAUAUUAAGUCAGGUGUGAAAUACUCGGGCUCAACCCGGGGGCUGCAUUUGAAACUGAGAUGCUUGAGUGUGAGAGAGGAAAGUGGAAUUCCUAGUGUAGCGGUGGGAUGCGUAGAUAUUAGGAGGAACACCAGUGGCGAAGGCGACUUUCUGGCUCAUAACUGACGCUGAGGCACGAAAGCGUGGGGAGCAAACAGGAUUAGAUACCCGCGUAGUC